GAAUGUACAGCUCAGUGGUAGAGUGCAUGUUUAGCAUGCAUGAGGUCCUGGGUUCAAUACCCACUACCUACA
rnacentral:tRNA from 1 species